GCCUUCUCCUAGGCUUGCAGUGAGGGAUGGAUACCAAUAGCGCCAAGGUUCUCAGAUGGAGUCUCACUGUAUUGCCCAGUCUAGAGUGCAGUGUGCAAUGGCAUGAUCUUGGUCACUGCAACCUCCACUUCCCAGCUCUAGCGAUUCUCCUUCCUUAGCCUCCUGAGUAGCUGGGAUUACAGGUGUGAGCCAUCAUGCCUGGCCUCUGAUUCAAAUUAUUUUUGAUGGAUUAAUAUUUACAAGCUGAAGGAAGUCCAAACUCCAUGACUUGACCGUGACCUGCUAACUCAGCCUCAGUCUCACCAACUCAGCUCCCUCAUUGAUUCUAGCAGUGCUGCUCCACUUGAAGUUCCCUAUCAUGCUGUGCGUGCUUACAAGCUUUGCUUUUGCUUGGAAAUGUCCUCUCACCUCUCCUGAGCCCAGUAAAUUCGGUUUCUUCAUGUACUGCUCACAUAAACCCUUUUUCUAAAGAACACCUAUUCAUAAGCAGAAUUUACCAGCCUUUCUAACGUGUGUAUUCUUGCAGUUUAGCAUAUAUCAAGGUAUAGUGUAGCUCACAACUGAGGAAAAAAAACUUCACUCCCAGGCAAGCCAUAGUUAUCCUGCUGAACCUAUGUAUUACAGAAAAAUAAAAUCAUAUGAUGUUACUCUGUGCA
rnacentral:lncRNA from 13 species